AGGGCGCCACCAGGAGUGGAGUCUGCGGCUUAAUUUGACUCAACACGGGGAAAAUUAAAUUACCAGGUCCAUACAUAGUAAGGAUUGAUAGACUGAGAGCUCUUUCUUGAUUAUAUGGAUGGUGGUGCAUGGAAGUUCUUAGUUGGUGGAGCGAUUUUACUGGUUAAUUCCGUUAACGAACGAGACCUCAGCCUGCUAACUAGCUAUGCGGAGGAUUCCCUCCGUGGCCAGCUUCUUAGAGGGAUUAUGGCCGUUUAGGCCACGGAAGUUUGGGGCA
rnacentral:rRNA from 1 species